rnacentral:rRNA from 1 species
ACAAUGCGGGACUAUCAGUCUUGCAAUUGGAUUGAGAACAAUGUACAACUCUUAUCGAUAAGCCAUUGGAGGGCAAGUCUGGUGCCAGCAGCCGCGGUAAUUCCAGCUCCAAUAGCGUAUAUUAACGUUGUUGCAGUUAAAAAGCUCGUAGUUGAAGUGUGGGUGAUCGCUGUUGUGAGACUUCGGUCUCUCGACAGUAAGUCACCCCCUUCCAGUAUCCAGUAGUGGGUAUUCAGUUACUUACUAUUGUGUGUUGGUCGUUUACUGUGAGAAAAUUAGAGUGUUCAAAGCAGGCGUUUGCUUGAAUAGAUUAGCAUGGAAUAAUAAUUGAAGGCUUUCGUGUUCGAUUUGAUUGGUUUGUUCAUGGAAGCAAGGUUAAAAGGAACAGUUGGGGGUAUUCAUAUUCACUAGUUAGAGGUGAAAUUCUCGGAUUUAUGGAAGAUGAAC